AAGGUGGGGAGUUCUUGGAGGGAGGGAGCCGAGAGUCUAUGGGAAACAUCCUCUCUAUCCCAGGGUAGGGGUAAGGUCUGCGUACACACUACCCUCCCCAAACCCCAUUAGUGAGAUUAUACUGGGUUGUUGUUAUUGUUGUUGUUGUUAGCUGGAGAAGGCGCGGGUACCAAAUUUAUCUUGCUAAAGAAACAAAUAAAUAAAUAAUAUUCUUAAAAAAAAUAGAAACAAAUAAAUAAAAUAACUAAACACUAAACGCUAAGACCUAAAAAUCCCUUUUCUACAGAUCCUAAACCCUAGAAACUUUGAAACACUCUAAAGUCCUGCCGCAACUCUUCGAGUUUGAGUUUUCCCUUCGGUAAGUUCCUCAAUUUCUAUCACCAUUUUUUUUUUCAUAUUUCAAUCUUUUCCGAUUGUUGUAGUCUAUGCUUAGUUGUUGUGAGAAUUAGGACGCCUUUUCUCUUUGAUAACUCACUCAACCUGCAUUUCAACUAAGUUUCCAGUUUAUUCCGUUUAUUUUACAGAUAGGUUGGUCGAAAAAGUUUCAAUUUUAUUCAGUUCUUCUUCGGUUCGAUUAUUUAUUUUGGUUUUGGGAUUGUUUUGUAUUUUUGUUUCUUUUCCUAAAUCGAGGCUUUAAUUCAUUUGCCUGAUUUCUCUAUCUAUGAUUUGAGAAGAGUUGCACUACACAGGUUAUAAACAUCAUGAUUAGGGGACAUUACUUGUAUCGUUAUGAGCAAAACGUUAGAAUUUGUUAAUUGUAUCGUUACUCAAGUGCAUGCAUCCAUGUAAAAGCUUCUAUAGAACAAUUUUGAUACCCAUUAGACAUAUAUAGAACACUAUAUCUUAUUACUUUUGUUUUUCUUUUCUUUAUUAGUUCUUAUGUGAAAAUUCGGUCAGAUAUUAAGAAUGAUCUCAAUAAAGAAGAGAGAUCUUACAUUAAGAGGAGAGUCAUAUUUGUUUAGUAGCCAAGGAUGACUUGCCUGCUCCAUUAUUUUAAAAGGUGUUUUGAUUAUACCAUUUAAUAUUGGUAGCCUUUUUUGCUUGGUUUUAGGCCGUCUCCUUGGCUAUCUUGACAUGCUCUUCUCUUUUAUGCUAGACUUUUCAUUCUUCUAUCACUACUAAAAUGUGAAAUUCCGAACGGGCAUCCCCUCGGAAAUUGGCUCGUCGGAAAGGAAUUUCUGACGGGAAGGCCCUUCAAAAAUAUUUCCGACGAUAUCCGAUUUGCUUUUUUUUUUGGUAGUGUUCAAGUUAAUUUACGAAGAAAGAAGAAGGAGAUAGAACAGAGGUAUAGCAUAGUGAAAGGAGUCUUAUUUGGUAGUCAAGGAUGACUUGUCGUGCACCAUUUUGGAAAGCUCAUUUAAUAUAUUUUAUAUAUUGAUGAUACAAUCCUUUCUUUCUUGGUUUCAGGUCACUAUGGCUAACUUGAUAAUCUCUUCUCUUUCAUGCAAUGCCUUCUCUUCUUCCAUUGCCUAUGGAACAUCUUCUAUUUUUCAUGCAAUGCCUUCUAUUAGUUGAUAGCCAAGGACGACUUCUAUUUUUCUUUUGGGCUAAAAGGAUAAUAUAUUACUUAGGCAUAAUUACAAAAGGUACGUAGUGCUAUUACUAGUGCUAUGAUCAUCUAAAAUAUAUAUUUUAGAAGGAUGACUUUUAAAUGCUAAUAAUUAUGGGUUCUAUGGGUUUUAGAUUUAGUUAUGCAUUGUUAUGCAAUGAUUAGUAAUGAGGAGAUUUUUAUGCAUGAGUUACUUAAUUUACAAAGGG
rnacentral:lncRNA from 1 species